rnacentral:rRNA from 1 species
UGGGAAUUUUGGACAAUGGGCGAAAGCCUGAUCCAGCCAUGCCGCGUGCAGGAUGAAGGCCUUCGGGUUGUAAACNGCUUUUGUACGGAACGAAAAGACUCUGGUUAAUACCUGGGGUCCAUGACGGUACCGUAAGAAUAAGCACCGGCUAACUACGUGCCAGCAGCCGCGGUAAUACGUAGGGUGCAAGCGUUAAUCGGAAUUACUGGGCGUAAAGCGUGCGCAGGCGGUUAUAUAAGACAGAUGUGAAAUCCCCGGGCUCAACCUGGGAACUGCAUUUGUGACUGUAUAGCUAGAGUACGGCAGAGGGGGAUGGAAUUCCGCGUNUAGCAGUGAAAUGCGUNGAUAUGCGGAGGAACACCGAUGGCGAAGGCAAUCCCCUGGGCCUGUACUGACGCUCAUGCACGAAAGCGUGGGGAGCAAACAGGAUUAAUACCCUGGUAGUCCACGCCCUAAACGAUGUCAACU